rnacentral:rRNA from 1 species
AUGGAAUUGCCUCCCGCUUAUUUAGAUUAUAAUGCUAUGGUUCGCCAUCAGUUUAUUGAGAGUAAUGAACAACCUCUCAAGUACCGACUAAUGUUUGACAGGCGCCGCACUGUCCAUGUUACUCUCCCUGCUCCUACGUUCUUUGACUUUCAGGCAAAAGGGAGUUAUAUUAUAACCAGGGAGGAGGCGCACGAGUAUGAGAGGAGGACGGAGACAGCUCGCCUCCAAGCUGCAGCUCAUGAGGCAAUAGCUGCUGCAUCUCAGUACGACCCCAACUACAACUUUGAUCCAUGGGCAUAG